rnacentral:rRNA from 1 species
CAUGCAGUCGAACGGGAAAGUGGAGCAAUCCAUGAGUACAGUGGCGUACGGGUGAGUAACACGUGGGUGAUCUACCUUUUAGUGGGGAAUAACCCUGGGAAACCGGGGCUAAUACCGCAUAAGCCCGAGAGGGGAAAGUCGCAAGACGCUGAAAGAGGAGCCCGCGGCCGAUUAGCUAGUUGGCAGGGUAAGAGCCUACCAAGGCAGAGAUCGGUAGCCGGCCUGAGAGGGCACACGGCCACACUGGCACUGAAACACGGGCCAGACUCCUACGGGAGGCAGCAGUGGGGAAUCUUGCACAAUGGGGGCAACCCUGAUGCAGCGACGCCGCGUGAGCGAUGAAGCCCUUCGGGGUGUAAAGCUCUUUCGGCAGGGAAGAUGAUGACGGUACCUGCAGAAGCAGCUGCGGCUAACUACGUGCCAGCAGCCGCGGUAAUACGUAGGCAGCGAGCGUUGUUCGGAGUUACUGGGCGUAAAGGGUGUGUAGGCGGUUCUUUAAGUUUGGUGUGAAAUCUCCCGGCUCAACCGGGAGGGUGCGCCGAAUACUGAGGGACUAGAGUGCGGGAGAGGAAAGUGGAAUUCCUGGUGUAGCGGUGAAAUGCGUAGAUAUCAGGAGGAACACCGGUGGUGUAGACGGCUUUCUGGACCGUAACUGACGCUGAGACACGAAAGCGUGGGUAGCAAACAGGAUUAGAUACCCUGGUAGUCCACGCCCUAAACGAUGCAUAUUUGGUGUGGGCAGUUCAUUCUGUCCGUGCCGGAGCUAACGCGUUAAAUAUGCCGCCUGGGGAGUACAGUCGCAAGGCUGAAACUCAAAGGAAUUGA